rnacentral:rRNA from 1 species
AAUGAACGUUGGCGGCGUGGAUUAGGCAUGCAAGUCGCGCGAGAAGUUUCCUUCGGGAGACGGACAGCGGCGGAAGGGAGAGGAAUAAGUAGAAAUCUGCCCUCGGGACGGGGAUAGCGGCGGGAAACUGCCGGUAAUACCCGAUAACAUCUUUGGAUCAAAUGGUGUGAUUCCGCCUGAGGAUGAGUCUACUUCCUAUUAGCUAGUUGGUGUGGUAAUGGCUCACCAAGGCAACGAUGGGUAGCGGGUGUGAGAGCACGAUCCGCCUCACUGGGACUGAGACACUGCCCAGACACCUACGGGUGGCUGCAGUCGAGAAUCUUCGGCAAUGGGGGAAACCCGUAGACCGAGCGACGCCGCGUGCGGGAGUGAAGGCCCUCCGGGUUGUAAACCGACUGUCGUAAGGGAACGAAAUACUAAGAAGGGUACGUCCCUUCCUAGUUGAGUGAUCUUAGGAGGAAGGACGGGCGUAAGUU